GACGAACGCUGGCGGCGUGCCUAAUACAUGCAAGUCGAACGCAGUGGGGACGGGUGAGUAACACGUGGGUCACCUCCCAUCAGAGGGGAUAACACUUGGAAACAGGUGCUAAACCGAUACUGAUGGAUGAACCCGCGGUGCAUUAUCUAGUUGGUGGGGUAACGGCUCACCAAGGCCACGAUGCAUAGCCGACCUGGGGGUGUGAGAGGCAACAGGGGGACUGAGAAACGGACCAGAGUCCUACGGGAGGCAGCAGUAGGGAAUCUUCGGCAAUGGACGAAAGUCUGACCGAGCAACGCCGCGUGAGUGAAGAAGGUUGUAGGAUCGUAAAACUCUGUUGUUAGAGAAGCGGUAUCUAACCAGAAAGCCACGGCUAACUACGUGCCAGCAGCCGCGGUAAUAC
rnacentral:rRNA from 1 species